UCCCUAGUAGCUCAGUUGGUAAAGAAGCUGCCUGCAAUGCAGGAGACCUGGGUUCAAUUCCUGGGUCGGGAA
rnacentral:tRNA from 1 species